GGCAUUGCGUUGGGGGCAUUUAUAGCACUUGCACUUAUUUUCAUUUGUUCCAUAUGCUGGUGGAAAAGAUGGCAGAAUAUUCUUCGAGCUCAGAAGCUUGUUGGUAUAGAUGCUCUGUAUGCAAAAGCGAGGACUCACUUCAUGCGUGACGUGCAAAUGACCAGGCCCUGCAUUCAGGACCAAGCUCGAGUGGUUGCUGAGAUAGGGCCCCGCUUACUCUCUUAGCUGAACUGCCAUUUGCUUUUGGUUCCAUCCAUGUCAAUCCCUAUUCCAUUCGUUUACAACCCGUCGAUUGAGGUUUUGCAAGUCACAUUCCACUAGUUCUGUCUCUAUGCAGAGCUUCCUCUUUUGACGGGAAAAUAGUUCUGAAAAUCCCCCUGGCAGAAUUGAUUUCUUCCUCUAUCAUGUAUGUCAUUCUCAUGUAGUUUUUGUGGUUGUAAGGUGUAGAUCAGGAGUUAAUGUAUAUUCUGCAUUCUUUCAGGGAUUCCUUAGAACAUCAUGUUUUCAUGUGUGCUAGGAACUAAAGCCUUCUUGCCUCUUUGUAAGUACAAUGGAAAUCACCACAAGGGUGUCUGCACACGAUUUGAUUGCUAUUUGUAAUAUGAAUGCAUUGUUUUCUUUCC